AAUUUUAAUUUAUGUAUUGGAAUUUUCGUUUAUAAAUUGAAAUUUUAGGAUUUGACUUGAACUUUUGUGGAUAUGAGUUGAACCUUUAGGAUAUGAAUUGAAAUUUUAAUUUAUGUAUUGGAAUUUUAGUUUAUAAAUUGAAAUUUUAGUAUAUGACUUAAACUUUUGUGGAUAUGAGUUGAACCUUUAGGAUAUGAAUUAAAUUUUUGGUUUCUGUAUUGGAAUUUUAGUUUAUAAAUUGGAAUUUUAGGAUUUGACUUGAACUUUUAUGGAUAUGAGUUGAACCUUUAGGAUAUGAAUUGAAAUUUUGGUUUAUGUCUUGGAAUUUUAGUUUAUAAAUUAAAGUUUUAGGAUUUGACUUGAACUUUUGUGGAUAUGAGUUGGACCUUUAGGAUAUGAAUUGAAUGUUUUGUUUUUGUAUUGGAAUUUUAGUUUAUAAAUUGAAAUUUUUAGGAUUUGACUUGAACUUAUGUGGAUAUGAGUUGAAUCUUUAGGAUAUGAAUUGAAAUUAUGAUUAGUGUAUUGGAAUUUUAGUUUAUAAAUUGAAAUUUUAGGAUUUGACUUGAACUUUUGUGGAUAUGAGUUGAACCUUUAGGAUAUGAAUUGAAAUUUUGGUUUAUGUCUUGGAAUUUUAGUUUAUAAAUUUAAAUUUUAGGAUUUGACUUGAAAUUUUGUGGAUAUGAGUUGAACCUUUAGGAUAUGAAUUGAUAUUUUGGUUUAUGUAUUGGAAUUUUAGUUUAUAAAUUGAAAUUUUAGGAUUUGACUUGAAUUUUUGUAGAUAUGAAUUGAACCUUUAGGAUAUGAAUUGAAAUUUUUGUUUAUGUAUUGGAAUUUUAGUUUAUAAAUUGAAAUUUUAGGAUUUGACUUAAACUUUUGUGGAUAUGAGUUGAACCUUUAGGAUAUGAAUUGAAAUUUUGGUUUGUGUAUUGGAAUUUUAGUUUAUAAAUUGAAAUUUUAGGAUUUGACUUGAACUUUUGUGGAUAUGAGUUGAUCCUUUAGGAUAUGAAUUGAAAUUUUGGUUUAUGUAUUGGAAUUUUAGUUUAUAAAUUGAAAUUUUAGAAUUUGACUUGAACUUUUGUGGAUAUGCGUUGAACCUUGAGGAUAUGAAUUGAAAUUUUGGUUUGUGUCUUUGAAUUUUAGUUUAUAAAUUGAAGUUUUAGAAUUUGACUUGAACGUUUGUGGAUAUGAGUUGAAGCUU
rnacentral:lncRNA from 1 species